GCUGGGGCCUCGGGCGGGGUGCACCGCUGUCCUUUCGCCGCCGUCCGGGCGGCACUGCACGUGCAGCGCGCGGUCCCCCACCCAGCGCAGCCCGCAACACCCCUGGUCUGCCGCAGGAGACCCUGCCGAUGCCACUCAGGGUCAAGACUCUGGCGCGGUGGAAACUGCAGAGCAAAAGGAAACACAGACAAAAACAGUGAGAAGGAGAGAGAGCAUGUGGGGCUUUGCCAGAGAGGAACUUGGAUGGCAAUCACCUAAGAACUCCAAACUCAGUGCCAGGGCAGACUGGUGUCUAUUUUGCAAUGUCUUCCAGUAGUUGAUAACUUUCUACUUUUAAAAUAAUUGGAAGAAUGUAAGCUCUCAACUAGUCCACUAGUCCCGAAACAAUAGAUACCAGCUGGCAGAGAUAAUAGCUGUCUGGAAGAGAGAGAUACAUACCACAUCAAAAAACAACAAAAAAAGGAUGGCUCAAGUACUCAAAAGGCAGCACUAAAAUAAGGCUAUGUCUCUUCCUGAGAAUACUCUGGACUUCAUUCUCUGAUUAAAGAUCACAACUGCUUCUUCGUUGAGGAAAUCAUGUAUUUCAAAGCCACCAAUGAACAAGAAUGACAAUCCAUGAAUUACACAGUAAACAAAUACUAUAUGUAUGAGACCGAUUCACUGUCACAAACCUGGAGAAGAAAACCCUUUUGAGGUUUAAAGCUGAGAGGGAGAUAAAAACUUGGUUGUACUACUUCUGGGAAAUGCUGAAGUUAUCCACGUGAUUUUCCAGUCACUGAUUAUUUUAGCAAAGUAACACAAACAGAGGAGGAGCUCUGGACUCUAGCUUCUCAUUUCUAAAAGAACAGAUGUAAUGGGAUGUAUUGGUCCAGCACUGAUAACAGGUUAUCCUACAAUCAAGUAUACUCUUUCCAGAAAGCUGAGUUAGGUAUGCAACUGCCUUUCUAAGCCAUGACUACAUUGCUAAAUGAAUCAUUGAUUUGGAAAAUCUGAAGUGACCUUCAGCUUGUUCUCCAGCUCUUCCUCAACAGAAAAGAGAGGCAAAAUCAGCAAAAUAUUGGAAAGAGGUAGUUUUUCUAAAGGUAUUUGUGGCAGGUAGAAGAUUGGAGGCCACUCAGCUAUGUGUGUAAGUGUGUGCAGGGAGAAAUUAGGUUCUAUAUUCAGAAGUGACAUUCUUUGUAUUUUCAGUGUGGCUCUAAAAACAGAGCCUUUUUCUUAUAGUUCAGAGUCAGACACUGCCCUUGGCUUCUCAGCCAUUCUAGUAAACUAUUUGUUACUCAGAAAGCCUCAAAUUCUUCAUUGAAUUUAUUUGGACCAGUUUUUGUGCACUUACCUCGUUGGCAUGGUAAUAGUCUUUUGAAUAACCAAUACUGUGAACAAUUAUACAAUUAAAAAUUCUACUUCCAUUAUUAUUCUUAACUUCUCCCUUUAUAUUUUGUUACAGUUAUGAGGUAUGUUUUAUUAACUAUUCUAGACAUAGAUCUAGCCCUGCAUUUACUCAGCACUGCCUUGCUCCUUUUCAUGAGGGGUGAUCUAGUUAGACAUAUCAAUAUUCAAUGAAAUGUAUAGAUUACCCUGAUAAAAUGGCUCAAUGAAGUUCAUGUAAGGUCAAUGGAAGAUUGAGGCAUCAUAUGCACUGAGCCACUAAUUGGUCUCAUACUAGUAGGAUAUAGCUAUCCCCACCCCCUAUAUCUUGAGUCUCCUUCCUCUUAGGUGCUGAGCAUUUCCAAAGGCUUCUCUAGCUGAAGCAGGUAUAAGAAAAUGAAGUGACAUAAAGCAUCAACCCUUAGGUAUAAAUGAUUGGCAAGUCUCAACCUUGCUAAAACUGAGACUUUUCAAUUAGCUAUGCUUAAAAGUUUCUACUGAAUUACUGAAGCCAUAAUUAUGUAUGUAAUUCAAGUUUCCUUUGAGCUGACCUACAAUGAAAGAAGUUACCUAAAUGACCUCUUAGGUCCUUUUCUCUCUCCAGCAAUCAUGGAUACUUUACGAAUCUCAUAAGGAGUACAGCUCAUUUAUUAUUAACACCAUUUUAGAAUGAAGGAAGAAGAGGCUUAGAAAGGUUUAGUAGCAGAGAAGAGAGCAGCCUUCUGAUUUGUGGGUUCCACAUUCUGGAUGCAGAAAACUUUCAGUCAUUCUUAUCUAUUGUGAGGCUUGUACCAGUUUCUCCAUAAACUUACAAAACCAAACCAUUUUGACAAGCUUUGUUCCUGCCUCUGACUUCUUUCAGAUAGUGGCUAACCAUCUUCUCUUGAUGAGUCAUUUUUGCUCUUCCUCAUUCCCUUCUUGAUGUUCAAGUAGGUGAACGUGAUGACUAUAAAAGGCAAGCAAUUAAUAUCUGGGGUUAGGCAGAGCUCUGUAAGCCAAUCUCCAAGAAUGUGCAAGCUCCUUUGUCCUUAACUGUAACCUUGGCACAUGAAAAGCAACUUCCAUUCCGUUUUACCAACAUUUCGGUCAAAGAUCAAUUGCCAUUGUAAUUAUAUCAUAUAUCACAGGAUGGGGAAUCAGUGAGAGGGCAGGCCCUUUAAACUAAUACAUAUCAUUAGCAUUUAAAGAACAUGAAAAACAAAUUGAACAUUAGUCCUCAUGUAAGUCUUUUUUCUAGAGCAAAUAAUUUUCCAAAUUAAAAUGAAUAAAUUAAUGAAAUUGUCACAUGUCUGAGAAUAAACUAGGUUGGUAAUGCCGUCAAGCUCUUAGCAAAGUUUAGCUCAUUGUACUUCUCUGUCUGAUCAUUAUAACAUCUAAUCAAGGGGAGCUUAAAUACUUCAAUGAGCUCUCAAAAUAAAUUUGAUCUGAGCAGCUCAGGUCUCAUGGAUUCCUAGGGUUACUGACUGGGUGAAACAUGUUUUUGUUUUAAUCCCUGUCUCAGCUCAAAGAGGAUUAAUGCCCGUAAUUCUGCUAUCCCCAUUUAAUUGAGAAAUGAAAUUUGAAGAGGCACCUCCUGGAACACUCCACUUUGAAAUAUGACCCAUCCACUGUCUAUAUAAUAAAUCUUCCUCUGCUCUCACACACUUAUCCACAUCCUUCCUAUCCCAAAGAAGGAGGAAAGAAAGUUAUUGUGUGUGUGUGUGUGUGUGUGUGUGUGUGUGUGUUUCUGUGCAUCUAAUCCAAAACACACAAUGUUGUUGUUUUAUUUUUCAAUUUUGGAAUUAUCCUAAUAAAGGCAUUCUCUGGGAAGCUCAGACUGCAUCUCAAACCUUUCUCUGACACUAGCAUCCUCAUUGGAACAAAUAGCCCUUUCACUAAAAGCAAUACAGUUAUUGCAUUCAUGUUAUAUGAUGGUAAUUUUCACUUUUGCUUUCAAUACAACAUUAAAAGAAAAAUUGUCUAUAGGAAAGAAAGAGGCAAUAUACUAUAUCCUGGAACUAAUUCUUUGGCAUCUGUAAAAAAGGGGGCCAUAAUUCUGAAUAGAGGCUCCUGUCCUAAAACAGACCCAAUGCUAAGAUCUAAUAGAAAGGGCACAGAGAAGCAUAAGGAAACUUAAUGUCACUUUCACGUUUUUUGUACAAGUUGAUGUGAGGAUCUAAAGAGGCAAUUUCUGUAAAAUGCCUAGUAGAGGACCAGGCAUAUAGUAAGCCCUCAGCAAAUGCUGGCUGUUAUCAUUAUGUUUUAUAAAGAAUUUUUACAUCUUCCUCCUAAGCCCUGAGGCUUCAUAACGAAGCCUUAUAUAUGACUCUCAAUGGCUCAAUGUCUUUCCUAACCUAAUGUAGAAAGUGACAUACCAUUGCUUCCAACAUAACCUAUUGGUCACAUGGACCAACAUAAGACCAAUGUGGGAUGACCCUGUACAUAAGGGUAAGAAGCAGGCAUCACUUGGGGCCAUCUCAAAGGAAGGUGACCACAACUGCCUAAUGGCAGUUGAAUCCUUUAUCAAGCUACCCUCAGUAACACUUCAGCUUUCAAGGACCAGGUUUUUGUGACUAUUGUGAACAGGAUUUUAGUGAAUGAAGAUAUAUCCCAAAAUAACAUUUCACUUAAAAGUUGAAUAUCUGUUAUCAAUUUACAAAUGCUUUUAUGUUAUAUCUCACUUGAGCUUCAAAAUAACCUUUUAAGACAGACAAGAGUAGAAACUACUCCAGUGAUUUCAUAGAUAAGGAAACUGAAGAUCAGAGAGACUUAAUGAUUAACCUAAGAUUUAAACUAGAUAUCCUCCUAGCAUUCUCAUGGCACUUAUUCUGCUAGCGUAGGCUGCCUUGUAUAUUUUUUAAAUGACUAUCUGUUUAUGUGCUGGUCAUGGGGUUUGCAGCAAAUCACAAGUGUGUAAUUUUUUUUUCUUAAAGGCAUUUAAUCUACUUUCUAAAAAUCACUAGAAUUCAGAAACUGAUACUACUUCUUUUGUUUCAUUAUUUGCCUCCCUGCCCCCAACACUCAUACAUAUUUAGAGACACCCAUGGACACUCAUGAACACACAUAUUCUUCUUUCUAGUCCCUUAUCAAUGGCAAACUAAAGUUAUUUUAGAAUAUACUAGCUGUCAUUGUGCCACAGAGAAACCUCUCUUUCAUGCAAAUUGAUAUAUGUAUAUAAUCAUACAUGUUUAUAUAUAAACUUUGUAGCUUUCCUCCCUCUUUUCUAAAAUAAAUUAUGAAAGGUUGUAUGUUCAGGCUUCACGCAGAAUUUUUCAUUUGAGGGAGACUUUUUCAACCCUUUCUAUUUGAGUUGGUAGCCAUUUAUAUGAAGAGAAAAUGAAUACUAAUGGAAAAUCCUAGAGUGGAUUUGGAAAAUCAUUAUAACAGUUCUGCUAUAGGUUUGGGCCUUUGACAAACCACCUAUUCAAGGAUGAAAAAUCCACUAUUUCUCUUCUGCAUUUCUUUUUCCGAAUACAGCUAGAUUGAAUAACAGGCCAGAUAAAGGAUUCAGAACAAUUGCUUUACUAAGUAAUAGUGAGCCCAUGUUCUAACCAAUGGGACAGAAACUGACCCUCUGUAUCUCUGACACAGUUGCCUUUCAUUGACAGAUUUACAGUGGAGGGGUUGGGAGAGCAGAUGAAUUAAAAAAAAACAAAAGCAAAUCAAGAUCCCCCAUAAAUUUCACGAUCCCCACAUCUUCCACCUCAGCACCUAUUAGAACACCUUACUCUUAAAUUCUGCACAUGUGGAGAUUUAUUUGUAUCCCAGAGGUUUGCUCAGAUGUUUCCUCUGUGCUUUCAAUGCAGGCCCACCCUUUUCUUUCUUCAUAUUAAAACCAUAUAGAUUCUCCUUGAAGCCUUCUCAACUGGUAAUAAUCAUUUACAUCCUUGCUAGUGCUUAUGAUUUUCGAAUUACUUUUAGAUAAUCUAACUCAGCGAUCUCCACACAACCUUAGACACUUAGCCCGGCAAGUAUUGUGCUUUUGCUUUCAUGGAUGAGAAAAAGGAGACUUGGAGUGCUUUGAUUAGCAAACAAGGUUACAGAGCUAAAAAAGGAGUGACACUGGAGUAGAUCCCAGCUUAAAUGAAACCCACUGCUUUACCUGCCCCUAUAGCCUGCAUGAUAUUUCCCUAUUCUGAGUGCUUGGAGCUCUUGGAGUCUCUUACAUCUAAUGUGAUCAUUAAGAGGUACUAACUGUCUGAUUGCUUCUUGUGUGCAGCUAACUCACUGGUGACCCAGCACUUUGGGAGGAUGAGGAGGGUGGAUCACAAGGUCAGGAGUUCGAGACCAGCCUGGCCAACAUGAUGAAACCCCGUCUCUACUAAAAAUACAAAAAUUAGCCAGGCGUGGUGGCAUGCACCUGUAUUCCCAGCUACUUGGGACACUGAGGCAGGAGACUUGCUUGAACCCGGGAGGCAGAGGUUGCAGUGAGCCAAGAUCGUGCCACUGCACUCCAGCCUGGGCGACAGAGUGAGACUCCAUCUCAAAAAUAAGUAAAUGAAUAAAUAAAAAUAAAAUAGAUUGAGCCUCCACAUUUUGCAUGCAGCUUUCUUGGUGCUUGUCCUUCUCCUGUGCUUACUCAAAGAUGGGACAUUGUGCACAAUGAGAAGAGUAUUGGGACCAGUAAGGAAGAAUGAGUCAGAUAUUGUGGGACCUCUUUUUUUGUUGUUUUUUUUUGCUCCCAGAAAUCUUUGAGGUAAGUAACAUAGUCAAUUGAGGUCUGGAGUUAUGUACUCCAUUUAUUCAUUUUUUCUUAACAUAGUCCCUCCUUACUAUGUGAUAUUCUCUGUCCUAGACCUUGAAAAUACAAGUUAAAUAUGGCAUAUUCUUUACCUCUAUGAGCUUAAAAUUGAGUGGGGAAAGUUUCAUUUUUUCUUUGAAAUGAAAACAAACUUAAGUACCGAUAUGCAUGAGAAAAAUAAAUUGUUCAUUUCUUUACCUACAUCUCAUCAGGAGUAAACACAUUCUCUCUCUGGCUAAGCCAAAUAUACCAUAAAUCCCUCCUAAAAAAAUACCCUGAAAUUGAGAAUCCAAUUUUAAUGGCUAAAUUAUAUUUACCUUGAACUGAGCAUUUUCUAUUAGGAUUUACGUAUGCAUCUUGGGGAUUCUGAAUGUUGGACUUUUUUUUCUUUUUUCUUUUAGAUUUUAACCUGAAUGGAAAAGACAAUAUGAGGGUGAUGAAAGACUCUAGAUGGUCCGUCUUGGAGAGAAGGUUUUGCCGUCUUGCCCCAGUUGGUCUCGAACUCCCGGGCUCAAGCAAUCCACCUGCCUUGGCCUCCCAAAGUGCUGGGAUUACAGACGUGAGCCACCAUACCCUGUCCAGUUUGGAAAUUUCUUACAAAGCUAAACCUAGUCUUAGAAUACAUUCCUGCAAUUGUUCUCUUAGUCUUUGAAAGAUGCUGGAAUAUAUGCCUGCUUGGCCAAUUAGUCCCCAAUAACUCUUCAGUGCCAUAGUACUGUGUGUAGAGAAAACCUCAAUGAAAAGAAAAUGGACAAUCAAGCUGGAUAAAAUACAUCCCUUAAAUGAGAACUACGCUAUGUGAAAAAAAAAUAGAAGAACAAGUCCUCAGCAAGUCAAUGAUCAUAAGAAAAACAGUUAUAUUGACUAGUUAUUUUGUGUGUUUGAUGUACAAUAUGGAGAAAUAUUAGUAGCCAAAUGAAUGUGACACAUUGACACAGAUGCAUUGUAAAUAUUAUGCUAUUGAGACCAUAGAUUCAGUUACAUUCCUCUGAUGAAUGUGGAUGCUUUCAUUUCCUGUUUUAGAAGGCAACUAACCUGAUUAAUAUCAAACUGCAAGCUCUGCCUUGUUUGCAGUAGGUGACUGCUCAAAUUGUAGUUAUUUUAGCCUCAGCUCUGAGAUAAUUUGUUUCUGUCCUGUUUUUCCCCCAACAAGUAUGGUUCAAGGUUCACAUACAGACUUGGCCAGAGUUCAUAUGCAGACUUUUAACUGCCUUCUUCCCAGGAUUUCCUCUCCAUUUUUGGGGUGGGUGGGCAGUGGGGUGCUGUGGUUGCACUGGGUCCUGUCAUCUGGUUCUUACCAACACAAAAUAUGAAGGUUUUUAAAGGAGUUUCAGUUAUUCUAAUUAUCCUGUACCUUAAGUUGUCUUUCUAAUACCUAGUGCUGGUUUCUUCUAAAUGUCAAAUCUCUUACAAAAACUGUUCUGUCUCAGGAAUUGUGUGUGUGUGAUUGUGCAUAUUCAGACUUUAUAGUUGUUACCUGCAUGACUGUCAGUCUAGUAGGAAUUCAUUCCAGCCUACUAGAAGAAAAAGUUUAUAUAUCAAUUUUGCAGAAAAAUAAUCCAAAUUGUAUAGGAUAUUACUCAAAAAGAAAACUUCGGAAAAGUUGUUUAAAUUUAUAAUCUUUUAGUUUUAAGCAAAUAUUUGUUAAACAUGCUUACUUCUCAGUUAGUGGAACAGAAGAAAAAAAAUGUAAUGUCAUCCCUGAACUCAGACACACAACACUUAAGAAAUUACAUUCAAAACAUAGGUGCUUUAACUUGAUAAGUACUUUAAAUGCAAUGCUAUAUCCAUUGUUUUCAAUGAACAUAGCAACAUUUUACAUGCACAAUAUAAUAAUGUGGUAAUUGCCAGAAAUAGUCCCUUUUUGCAAAUAUUUAAUGUAAUUCUACAGGAAAAAAUUUUAAGGCAGUAAAAUAAAAUGUAUUUCACGAUCUGCAAUGAUGUGUACCUUACUUUAGCCUUUUACUGCAACUAACUUCAGCAAAUAAAAUUUGGUGAAUAAUCUGUA
rnacentral:lncRNA from 10 species